AUGUCUGAUAAGAUGCUUUCAGAGAAGGAACGUGCUGUACGUGAACGUCUUUACUUUCUAGAUGGCACCCCCUACACAAGGGCUAAAGUAGCGGAGAGGGAACGUGACAAAGUUCGGAGACUGGUUGAAGCUUUACUAGACAAGCGAAAUGACGUUGAGGAUCGUGUGGAUGAACUCGAAGAAAUUGUUCAUUGGCAAUCAAUUUGCGAAGGUGUCGAAUGGUACUAUCAUCUCAAUAUCACUGUGAAGACCAAAGAAGCUGCCAAUGAUGCGGGCAGCACCAGUCUAUUCUUCGUUGAAGUCGCACGUGAUCCGAAUGAUAUCACAGGAUAUUAUAUCAACACUUUCUCCAGGGUUGACACUAACGGCCAGGAUCGUGGAGCUACCUGCAAUGGCUGUAUAAACAAUAAAAGUAAUGGUAUGAAGCACCCGCGUGCUGCUUCAUUCAAAGGCGGCCACAAGAACAUCCGUUUCCCACUUGGUUUUGGUCCCUGUAAUGAGAAGCAGUGGGUCGACUCCCGUAACACUUAUGAAGAAAUGCUAAAAAAAGAGGAGAAAAGGAUAAGAGAAGUUCCUUGA
rnacentral:rRNA from 1 species